rnacentral:rRNA from 1 species
CUUAAAUUUUGGUUUAUAUCAUUAUUUAAAAUAAUAUUAUAUGAGUAAAAGAAUUGAACUUUAUCCACAAAAAAGUACUGAGAAGGAAAGUCUUGUCAAUUUUAAAGAAUUUAUUUAUUAUACCUUUUGUAUCAGGGUUUAUUCAAUUUUGACCACUAUUGUCAAGUCCCGAAAUAAGGUGAUUUAUGUUAAUUAAAGAUGAUUGUUUCAUAACUCUCUUAAAGAUUAACAUCGGUGUAAAAAAUAUUUCGUACCUAUAUAUCUGGUUGGCAGAAGACUCCUUUAGGGUACUCCGGAAGGAAGAUUUUCUAGGGGACGAGCUCUAGAAAAAAUUAUAUCAAAUUAUUACCAGCGAUAUGAAUAGGCUUAAAAGUUGCCAGGGUGUAAUAACGAGGGUCGUUUAAAUAAUAAUUUAAAGUUGAUUAAUUGAAUCUAGCCGAUGCUUAUUAUUAACAUUGAGCAGUCAUAAUGAUAAAAUUAGUAUAUGUAUAAAAAUGCAAUAGAAUUUAUUCCAAAAAUUUUGGAAGGAAUUCGGCAAAACUUGCCUCCGCCUGUUUAACAAAAA